UACGGGGGGGCAAGCGUUGUUCGGAAUUACUGGGCGUAAAGGGCUCGUAGGUGGCCAACUAAGUCAGACGUGAAAUCCCUCGGCUUAACCGGGGGAACUGCGUCUGAUACUGGAUGGCUUGAGUUCGGGAGAGGGAUGCGGAAUUCCAGGUGUAGCGGUGAAAUGCGUAGAUAUCUGGAGGAACACCGGUGGCGAAGGCGGCAUCCUGGACCGACACUGACACUGAGGAGCAGAAAGCAGGGGAGCAAACGGG
rnacentral:rRNA from 1 species